UACGAAGGGGGCUAGCGUUGCUCGGAAUUACUGGGCGUAAAGCGCACGUAGGCGGCUUUCUAAGUCGGGGGUGAAAUCCUGGAGCUCAACUCCAGAACUGCCUUCGAUACUGGAGAGCUUGAGUACUUAAGAGGAUCGCGGAAUUCCCGGUGUAGAGGUGAAAUUCGUAGAUAUCGGGAGGAACACCAGUGGCGAAGGCGGCGAUCUGGGAAGAUACUGACGCUGAGGUGCGAAAGCGUGGGGAGCAAACAGG
rnacentral:rRNA from 1 species